rnacentral:tRNA from 1 species
AGAGAGGUGUCCGAGUGGCUGAAGGAGCUCGCUUGGAAAGCGAGUAUGCCCCAAAGGGCAUCGGGGGUUCGAAUCCCUUCCUCUCUACCA